rnacentral:tRNA from 1 species
AGUCUUAAAGUUAAUAAUUUCAAAUUGCAAAUUUGAAAAAGGGUUUUAUUAAGCCCUAAGGCUU